rfam:Camelus ferus unplaced genomic scaffold scaffold73523, whole genome shotgun sequence.
GAGGGUGUAGCUCAGUGGUAGAGUGUGUGCUUGGCAUGCAUGAGGUCCUGGGUUCAAUCCCCAGUACCUCCA